AUGACAGGCUCCAGGAUCUCAGAGGCUGAGGUUUCUAGAGAAAUGCACCCAGAGUGUCCCGUCUACCACCCAGGAAUAGAAGUGCAAGAUCAGGUCUCUGGAACACAUGCAGAGUUCACCCUGCAGAGCCGGCUCGGCAAACGGAGCCAGAAGACAAGGGUUCAAGUCCUGAUCACAACAGAGGGUCCCGCAUGCUAUCGAUCAGGGAAAGGAUCACUGGCAGAAGGGAAGGGCUCGGGGAAGAGCACAGCAUGGGCCAGGGAGGCUGGGACGAAAUUUCCUGCUGCACAGUGCAAGCUCCAGCUCCUGGUUUUCAUCUCACCAUCUUCCCCAUGCUGCGUGGACACCAACAUCUAUUUAUUUAGCUCUUCCUGAAUGUUAUACAUCAGAAGAUUUCUAUUUAAAUAAAUGACUUGCUCUUAAAUGUUAAAGCUCCCACAGAUAAAAAAUAAGACUGUAGCAAAAGCGAUUGUUUAAUAUACCACUAUGUAUGUAUGUAUGUAUGUAUAUAUAUAUAUAUGGGUCUUCAGUGAAUUCACCCAAGGAAACCAGGGGAGGAAAGGUAACCCUCGUGAUGGUCAGUGGGAAGAGGAGGCUGGAGGUGGGCCCGGCCUCACUGGUGUGGGGCAGCUGGGGAUGUGCAUCCCGAGGGCUGAGAAAAGUGAUCAUGACAUCUUGCUAAACCUGCGAAGCCCACAAGUGUGCACAUUGGAGUCCUCACACAAACACAACAACAGUAGGACAGAAGUGACUAUACAUGUCUGUGAUCCCAGCUCCCUGGGAGGAUGAGGCAGGGGGAUGGCAAAUUCAAGCCCAGCGUGGUCACCUUAGUGACUUAGCAAGAGCCUGUCUCAAAAUAAGGAACAAAGAAAGGGCUGGGGAUGCAGCUCAACGCAAAGGCCCUAGGUUCA
rnacentral:lncRNA from 1 species